rnacentral:rRNA from 1 species
UUGAAGUAAAGUUUUGUACAAGUUUCCGUAGGUGAACUGCGAAGAUCAUGU